GACGAACGCUGGCGGCGUGCUUAACACAUGCAAGUCGAACGGUGAACCUCUUCGGAGGGGAUCAGUGGCGAACGGGUGAGUAACACGUGGGCAACCUGCCCCCGGCUCUGGGAUAACUCCAAGAAAUUGGGGCUAAUACCGGAUGUUCACCGCUUCCCGCAUGGGUGGUGGUGGAAAGGGUUUCCGGCUGGGGAUGGGCCCGCGGCCUAUCAGCUUGUUGGUGGGGUAGUGGCCUACCAAGGCGACGACGGGUAGCCGGCCUGAGAGGGUGACCGGCCACACUGGGACUGAGACACGGCCCAGACUCCCACGGGAGGCAGCAGUGGGGAAUAUUGCGCAAUGGGCGGAAGCCUGACGCAGCGACGCCGCGUGGGGGAUGACGGCCUUCGGGUUGUAAACCUCUUUCAGCAGGGACGAAGCGCAAGUGACGGUACCUGCAGAAGAAGCACCGGCCAACUACGUG
rnacentral:rRNA from 1 species